GUAACCAGCAGGUAGCCUAGUGGUUAGAGUGUUGGACCAGUAACCAGCAGGUAGCCUAGUGGUUAGAGUGUUGGACCAGUAACCAGCAGGUAGCCUAGUGGUUAGAGUGUUGGACCAGUAACCAGCAGGUAGCCUAGUGGUUAGAGUGUUGGACCAGUAACCAGCAGGUAGCCUAGUGGUUAGAGUGUUGGACCAGUAACCAGCAGGUAGCCUAGUGGUUAGAGCGUUGGACCAGUAACCAGCAGGUAGCCUAGUGGUUAGAGUGUUGGACCAGUAACCAGCAGGUAGCCUAGUGGUUAGAGCGUUGGGCCAGUAACCAGCAGGUAGCCUAGUGGUUAGAGUGUUGGGCCAGUAACCAGCAGGUAGCCUAGUGGUUAGAGUGUUGGGCCAGUAACCAGCAGGUAGCCUAGUGGUUAGAGUGUUGGGCCAGUAACCAGCAGGUAGCCUAGUGGUUAGAGCGUUGGGCCAGUAACCAGCAGGUAGCCUAGUGGUUAGAGUGUUGGGCCAGUAACCAGCAGGUAGCCUAGUGGUUAGAGCGUUGGGCCAGUAACCAGCAGGUAGCCUAGUGGUUAGAGUGUUGGACUAGUAACCAGCAGGUAGCCUAGUGGUUAGAGUGUUGGGCCAGUAACCAGCAGGUAGCCUAGUGGUUAGAGUGUUGGGCCAGUAACCAGCAGGUAGCCUAGUGGUUAGAGUGUUGGACCAGUAACCAGCAGGUAGCCUAGUGGUUAGAGUGUUGGACCAGUAACCAGC